UUAGAAAGGGUAUAAGUGCAGUGGCACGCGCCAACAGCGAAGAGCAAACAAAAGAAAUCAAAUAAGGGGUGAGAAGAAGACUUGGUGCAUUCUGUUUGAGCGAUUGAAUGGGAAGCAUCCAUUUUAAUUGUGCGCAGCAGAGUUACUUCAAUCGUUUCUUUAAGUAAAUAUAAUAAAGUCAGGUAUUCGAUGGCUUCUGUUAGCCAAAACUGGAUGAUAAAAUGUUUUGUGUCAAAAAAAAUUCCCGCAAAGGGUUUAUACACAGCUCUAAAAGAAUCGUUGGCCAAGGACUCCGAGAGGACCCCGACACGUGUUUGAGAAAGGCGAUGACGCACGUGAAAAACAAACUAACAAAUCAAAAAAUCAGAAAUACUAACAAUAAUUGUCCCUUAAUUGAAAAUCUAAACACGAUCUAAUUAAA